AAUCAACGCUGGCGGCGUGCCUAACACAUGCAAGUCGAGCGAGAAAGGGAGCUUCGGUUCCCAAGUAAAGCGGCGGACGGGUGAGUAACACGUGGGUAAUCUGCCCUCGGGUGGGGAAUAAUUCAGGGAAACCUGGACUAAUUCCGCGUGACAUUCCUCUUACAUACGUAUAGGGAAUCAAAGCUGGGGACCCCUUUCGGGGGGCCUGGCGCCUGAGGAGGAGCCCGCGGCCAAUUAGCUUGAUGGUGAGGUAAUGGCUCACCAUGGCUUCGAUUGGUAACCGGCCUGAGAGGGCGGACGGUCACACUGGGACUGAGACACGGCCCAG
rnacentral:rRNA from 1 species